GAUGAACGCGGCGGCGUGCCUAACACAUGCAAGUCGAGCGAGAACCGCUGGAAUGACACUUCGGUAGAAUGAAAAGCGGGGAAAGCGGCGGACGGGUGAGUAACGCGUAGGUAACCUGCCCCAUACACAGGGAUAGCCUAGGGAAACCUGGAUUAAUACCUGAUGAAGCAACUGGUCGCAUGACCGGCUGCCAAAGAUUUAUCGGGUAUGGGAUGGACCUGCGUCUGAUUAGUGAGUUGGUGGGGUAAUGGCCUACCAAAGCGACGAUCAGUAGCCGACCUGAGAGGGUGAUCGGCCACAUUGGAACUGAGACACGGUCCAAACUCCUGCGGAGGCAGCAGUGGGGGAUAUUGCACAAUGGGCGGAAGCCUGAUGCAGCAACGCCGCGUGAGCGAAGAAGGUCUUCGGAUCGUAAAGCUCUGUCCUGGGGGAAGAAACAAAUGACGGUACCCCGGGAGGAAGCCCCGGCUAACUACGUG
rnacentral:rRNA from 1 species